CACUUUUUUAUUGUCCUUUUAUCUCUUUGGCUGAUGCACGAAACGUCAAGGGUAAUUCGAAGAAUGAAGUAAAAGAUGCUGCACUCAUCUCGUUCGACAUUUUUGAGAAAAUUUAUUUAAAAAAUUUUGUUCUUCGAAGAACCUUAUACUCACCUAAUGGACAAGUUCUCCAAGAGCCCAUCGUGCUUUUCCAGCUGUCUCUUCAGGGCCUCGAAGUUCAUUCCAUUCUCUUCCAUACACGCCCGCAUUACAUGCUGAAGUUCACGAUGCUGGAUCAGACCGUCUCCUGUGGACCAGAUGAAGAUCAUGAUCAGAUCAAUAUUCAAGAUUUUCAAUACCGAAGAGACUUU